GACAGAGGUGCCAAGCGUUAGGCGGAAUCACUGGGCUUAAAGCGUGUGUAGGCGGAUGCCUAAGUACCUUGUGAAAUCCCACGGCUCAACCGUGGAACUGCUUGGUAUACUGGGUGUCUUGAGCCAUCUAGGGGCUACCGGAACAAAUGGUGGAGCGGUGAAAUGCGUAGAUAUCAUUUGGAACGCCAAUGGUGAAAACAGGUAGCUGGGGAUGUGCUGACGCUGAGACACGAAAGCCAGGGAGCAAACGGG
rnacentral:rRNA from 1 species